CAGCUCAACUGCCGAAGUGCCUUUGAUACUGACGGGCUUGAAUGCAGCUGAAGUGGGCGGAAUGUGACAAGUAGCGGUGAAAUGCAUAGAGAUGUCACAGAACACCGAUUGCGAAGGCAGCUCACUAAAGUGCGAUUGACGCUGAGGCACGAAAGCGUGGGGAUCAAACAGGAUUAGAUACCCUGGUAGUCCACGCCCUAAACGAUGAACACUCGAUGUUGGCGAUAUACGGUCAGCGUCUAAGCGAAAGCGUUAAGUGUUCCACCUGGGGAGUACGCCCGCAAGGGUGAAACUCAAAGGAAUUGACGGGGGCCCGCACAAGCGGAGGAGCAUGUGGUUUAAUUCGAUGAUACGCGAGGAACCUUACCCGGGCUUGAAAGUUAGCGAAUGGGGCAGAGACGUCCCAGUCCCUUCGGGGACGCGAAACUAGGUGCUGCAUGGCUGUCGUCAGCUCGUGCCGUGAGGUGUUGGGUUAAGUCCCGCAACGAGCGCAACCCCUGUGAAUAGUUGCCAGCACGUCAAGGUGGGGACUCUAUUCAGACUGCCUGUGCAAACAGAGAGGAAGGAGGGGACGACGUCAAGUCAUCAUGGCCCUUACGUCCGGGGCUACACACGUGCUACAAUGGAGGGUACAGCGGGCAGCUACCUGGCAACAGGAUGCCAAUCUCGUAAAGCCCUUCACAGUUCGGAUCGGGGUCUGCAACUCGACCCCGUGAAGUUGGAUUCGCUAGUAAUCGCGUAUCAGCAAUGACGCGGUGAAUACGUUCCCGGGCCUUGUACACACCGCCCGUCAAGCCAUGGAAGCUGGGGGUACCUGAAG
rnacentral:rRNA from 1 species